UUUCCGUAGGUGAACCUGCGGAAGGAUCAUUAUUGUAUAACCGAGGUGCGAGGGCUGUCGCUGACCCGAAAGGUCGUGCACGCCCGAGUGCCCUCACACACAUCCAUCUGACCCCUAUGUGCACCACCGCGUGGGUCCCCCUUUGGCUUGUUCGGAGGGGGGCUUACGUUUUCACACAAACUUUGUAUGCAGUGUAGAAUGUAUUUUUUGUUUUUGCGAUCACGCAAUCAAUACAACUUUCAACAACGGAUCUCUUGGCUCUC
rnacentral:misc_RNA from 1 species